rnacentral:rRNA from 1 species
GAUGAACGCUGGCGGCGUGCCUAAUACAUGCAAGUCGAGCGAACAGACGAGGAGCUUGCUCCUCUGACGUUAGCGGCGGACGGGUGAGUAACACGUGGAUAACCUACCUAUAAGACUGGGAUAACUUCGGGAAACCGGAGCUAAUACCGGAUAAUAUAUUGAACCGCAUGGUUCUAUAGUGAAAGACGGUUUUGCUGUCACUUAUAGAUGGAUCCGCGCCGCAUUAGCUAGUUGGUAAGGUAACGGCUUACCAAGGCAACGAUGCGUAGCCGACCUGAGAGGGUGAUCGGCCACACUGGAACUGAGACACGGUCCAGACUCCUACGGGAGGCAGCAGUAGGGAAUCUUCCGCAAUGGGCGAAAGCCUGACGGAGCAACGCCGCGUGAGUGAUGAAGGUCUUCGGAUCGUAAAACUCUGUUAGUAGGGAAGAACAAAUGUGUAAGUAACUAUGCACGUCUUGACGGUACCUAAUCAGAAAGCCACGGCUAACUACGUG